UGCCAGCCGCCGCGGUAAUACGAAGGGUGCUAGCGUUGUUCGGAAUUACUGGGCGUAAAGGGCGUGUAGGCGGAUAUGUAAGUUAGGGGUGAAAUCCCGGGGCUCAACCUCGGAACUGCCUUUAAUACUGCAUAUCUAGAAUCCAUGAGGGGAUAGUGGAAUAUCAAGUGUAGAGGUGAAAUUCGUAGAUAUUUGAUGGAACACCAGUGGCGAAGGCGACUAUCUGGCAUGGCAUUGACGCUGAGGCGCGAAAGCGUGGGGAGCAAACAGGAUUAGAUA
rnacentral:rRNA from 1 species